GACGAACGCUGGCGGCGUGCUUAACACAUGCGAGUCGAACGGAAAGGCCCUGCUUUUGUGGGGUGCUCGAGUGGCGAACGGGUGAGUAACACGUGAGUAACCUGCCCUUGACUUUGGGAUAACUUCAGGAAACUGGGGCGAAUACCGGAUAGGAGCUCCUGCUGCAUGGUGGGGGUUGGAAAGAUUCGGCGGUUGGGGAUGGACUCGCGGCUUAUCAGCUUGUUGGUGGGGUAGUGGCGUACCAAGGCUUUGACGGGUAGCCGGCCUGAGAGGGUGACCGGCCACAUUGGGACUGCGAUACGGCCCAGACUCCUACGGGAGGCAGCAGUGGGGAAUAUUGCACAAUGGGCGGAAGCCUGAUGCAGCAACGCCGCGUGCGGGAUGACGGCCUUCGGGUUGUAAACCGCUUUCGCCUGUGACGAAGCGUGAGUGACGGUAAUGGGUAAAGAAGCACCGGCUAACUACGUG
rnacentral:rRNA from 1 species